CAUCCAUUAUGGAAGUUCAAUCGAGGUCUGGUUCUUGCAGAAGGCUGAAAGGAGACCACUUAUUGUAGAAGCUCGAUCGAGGAUCGAUUGUCGUGGGAGCUCGGAGUAGUGAUCUGGCCGGUAGGUCCUGUCCUGCUGUAGAAGCUCGUCUGGGAUCCGGUUACGAAGAAGCUCGACUGAGGUCUACCUGUAAUGGAAGUUCGGAAAAGACAUGUUCACAGUAGGGGCUCGAAUGGAAUUUGCUUACAGUAGAGAUCCGGAGUAGACCGCCC
rnacentral:lncRNA from 1 species